rfam:Nomascus leucogenys chromosome 1a, whole genome shotgun sequence.
GUGUUGUAUGAAAGCAAAGAAGGUGAACACUCCCCUUCACAAGGAUAGAAGAGUCCUCAGGCCUGACAACAAGUCUGACAGCAGGGCACUGCAGCUACAGCCCUGCCCAGCUUCUUCC